GGCUUAGAAGCAGCCAUGCAUUCAAAGAGUGCGUAACAGCUCACUGGUCGAGUGGACAUGCGCCGACAAUACACGGGGCUAAGCUGGACACCGAAGCGGCGGGAUUUUGAUUUUCAGAAUCGGUAGGGGAGCUUCCCAUGGGCGGGGAAGCCGCCGGGCGACCGGCGGUGGAGCGCAUGGGAGUGAGAAUGCUGGCAUGAGUAGCGAGAGACGAGAGAGUAACUCGUCCGCCGUGAACCCGAGGUUUCCUGGGCAAGGCUAAUCCUCCCAGGGUCAGUCGGGGGCUAAGGCGAGGCCGGGAGGCGUAGCCGACGCGCAGCAGGCAGACAUUCCUGCACCGCGCACGCGGCGCUACGACCGACGGGGCGACGGAUGGGGGUGGCUCGGCGGGGUUCUGGACGUCCCCGUGAUGGAGCGCGGCCCGCGGACCAGGGAAAUCCGGUCCGCACGAGGGCGAGGCUCCGGACGAAGCGAUUGAGCGAAGCGAGUGAGCCCGAGGUCCCUAGAAAAACCCCUAGGCAGGCGCGUGCGCGCCCGUACCGCAAACCGACACAGGUGGGUGGGUAGAACAUACCGAGGCGAUCGGGUCAACCAUGGUCAAGGAACUCGGCACAAUGGCCCCGUAACUUCGGGAGAAGGGGUGCCCGCGCGUACGUGAACCGGCUUGCCCGGGGAGCGGAGGCGGGCCGCAGUGGAGAGGCCCAAGCGACUGUUUACCAAAAACACAGGACUCUGCAGAAGCCGCAAGGCGACGUAUAGGGUCUGACGCCUGCCCGGUGCCGGAAGGUCACGCGGAGGAGUUAGCCGCAAGGCGAAGCCCCGAAGCCAAGCCCCGGUAAACGGCGGCCGUAACUAUAACGGUCCUAAGGUAGCGAAAUUCCUUGUCGGGUAAGUUCCGACCUGCACGAAAGGCGCAACGACUUGGGCGCUGUCUCGACCAUGGACCCGGUGAAAUUGCACUGGUCGUGAAGAUGCGACUUACCCGCGGAAGGACGGAAAGACCCCGUGAACCUUCACUGCAGCUUGGCAUUGGCCGCUGGUCCCGCGUGUAGAGGAUAGGCAGGAGGCACAGAUCCGGAGGCGCCAGCCCCCGGGGAGCCGCCCUUGGAAUACUGCCCUCGCGCGACCGGCGUCCUAACCCGAGGCCGUCAACCGGCUCGGGGACCGUGCCAGGCGGGCAGUUUGACUGGGGCGGUCGCCUCCUAAAGGGUAACGGAGGCGCGCGAAGGUCCGCUCGGGACGGUCGGCAACCGUCCUUUUGAAUGCAAGAGUACAAGCGGGCUUGACUGCGAGGCCCACAAGCCGAGCAGGUGCGAAAGCAGGCUCUAGUGAUCCGGCGGCCCCGAGUGGGUGGGCCGUCGCUCAACGGAUAAAAGGUACUCCGGGGAUAACAGGCUGAUCUUGCCCAAGAGUCCACAUCGACGGCAAGGUUUGGCACCUCGAUGUCGGCUCAUCGCAUCCUGGGGCUGGAGCAGGUCCCAAGGGUUGGGCUGUUCGCCCAUUAAAGCGGUACGCGAGCUGGGUUCAGAACGUCGUGAGACAGUUCGGUCCCUAUCCUCCGUGGGCGCAGGAGAAUUGAGGAGGUCUACCCCUAGUACGAGAGGACCGGGGCGGACGGGCCUCUGGUGUCCCGGUUGUCGACCAACGGCACGGCCGGCUAGCCACGCCCGGAACGGAUAACCGCUGAAGGCAUCUAAGCGGGAAGCCGUCUCCGAGAUGAGUUCUCCCUUCGGUAAGCCCCCAUGCAGAACACGUGGUGGAUAGGCCGCAGCUGCAAGCGCCGCGAGGCGUUCAGGCGAGCGGUACUAAUAGGGCGAGCCCUUGCACCC
rnacentral:rRNA from 1 species